GUGUCAGCAGCCGCGGUAAUACGUAGGGAGCGAGCGUUGUCCGAAUUUACUGGGCGUAAAGCGCGCGUAGGCGGGCUUUUAAGUUGGGGGUGAAAUCCCGAGGCUCAACCUUGGAACUGCCCCCAAAACUGGGAGCCUUGAGGUAUGGAGAGGGAAGUGGAAUUCCUGGUGUAGCGGUGAAAUGCGUAGAUAUCAGGAGGAACACCUGUGGCGAAGGCGGCUUCCUGGCCAUAUCCUGACGCUGAGGUGCGAAAGCUAGGGGAGCAAACGGGAUUAGAUACCCCGGUAGUCCUAGCCGUAAACGAUGGAUACUAGGUGUUAGUGGUAUCGACCCCACUAGUGCCGUAGCUAACGCAUUAAGUAUCCCGCCUGGGGAGUACGACCGCAAGGUUGAAACUCAAAGGAAUUGGCGGGG
rnacentral:rRNA from 1 species